rnacentral:rRNA from 1 species
UGGGGAAUUUUGGACAAUGGGCGCAAGCCUGAUCCAGCCAUGCCGCGUGCGGGAAGAAGGCCUUCGGGUUGUAAACCGCUUUUGUCAGGGAAGAAAUCUUCUGAGUUAAUACCUCGGGAGGAUGACGGUACCUGAAGAAUAAGCACCGGCUAACUACGUGCCAGCAGCCGCGGUAAUACGUAGGGUGCAAGCGUUAAUCGGAAUUACUGGGCGUAAAGCGUGCGCAGGCGGUUUUGUAAGACAGAGGUGAAAUCCCCGGGCUCAACCUGGGAACUGCCUUUGUGACUGCAAGGCUUGAGUGCGGCAGAGGGGGAUGGAAUUCCGCGUGUAGCAGUGAAAUGCGUAGAUAUGCGGAGGAACACCGAUGGCGAAGCAAUCCCCUGGGCCUGCACUGACGCUCAUGCACGAAAGCGUGGGGAGCAAACAGGAUUAGAUACCCUGGUAGUCCACGCCCUAAACGAUGUCAACUGGUUGUUGGGAAGGUUCCUUCUCAGUAACGUAGCUAACGCGUGAAGUUGACCGCCUGGGGAGUACGGCCGCAAGGUU